rnacentral:rRNA from 1 species
GAUAAACGCUGGCGGCGCACAUAAGACAUGCAAGUCGAACGGAAGUCGUUACGAAACGGAGUGAAGAUUUAUCUGAAUGAAGUUUUGUAACAAUGGCUUUAGUGGCGGACUGGUGAGUAACACGUAAGCAACCUGCCUAUUAGAGGGGAAUAACAAUGAGAAAUCAUUGCUAAUACCGCAUAAGCUUGUAGUAUCGCAUGGUACAGCAAGAAAAGGAGUAAUCCGCUAAUAGAUGGGCUUGCGGCUGAUUAGCUAGUUGGUAAGGUAAUGGCUUACCAAGGCAACGAUCAGUAGCCGGGCUGAGAGGUUGAACGGCCACAUUGGGACUGAGAUACGGCCCAG